CAGCAGCCGCGGGAAUACGAAGGGGGCUAGCGUUGUUCGGAUUUACUGGGCGUAAAGCGCACGUAGGCGGACUUUUAAGUCAGGGGUGAAAUCCCGGGGCUCAACCCCGGAACUGCCUUUGAUACUGGAAGUCUUGAGUAUGGUAGAGGUGAGUGGAAUUCCGAGUGUAGAGGUGAAAUUCGUAGAUAUUCGGAGGAACACCAGUGGCGAAGGCGGCUCACUGGACCAUUACUGACGCUGAGGUGCGAAAGCGUGGGGAGCAAACAGGAUUAGAUACCCCCGUAGUCCCUGUCUCUUAUAA
rnacentral:rRNA from 1 species